GGGCCCGUAGCUCAGUUCGGUCAGAGCGACCGGCUCAUAACCGGUCGGUCCCCAGUUCAAAUCCGGGCGGGCCCACCA
rnacentral:tRNA from 1 species